AAACUGGAGGAGCUCUUCAAUGAUGGUUUUAUUUACCAGAACAACGUUUUUUGGUGCCUUGUGUACACCUCUGCCUCAGGGCAUGUGGUGUUCCUCUUGUAAUGCUGACAUCGCAGCUUCACCAGCGGUGAUGGUGGCAAUGGGCCAGCGGUGAUGGCGGCAAUGAGGUGGGGAUCCCCUUCAUCCCGCCUUGCAAAGGAAGGUAGAGCCGAAAAUUUUGCUGCUGGAGCGUGAGAUGGUGUGGGUUUCCUUGUGUAACAUCAAGAGUGAGGUGGAAUAAACAAUUAGUUGAGUGCAGGGCGGAGCGGAUCGAGACCAAUAAUAACUGCCAUCCCUAACCAGGGUUCCAGGGUUUGCAGCAUCACUGGCAUCUCCACGGUUGCUAACGGUAAACAAGCUUAAUGCAAGAACCCCAAAAGGAAAAACACCUUCUUUCUUGCUUUUCUCAUUUUGCUGAUGAUGGAUUAAUGUGGCAUAAAUGAUGAAUGAUGAUCAUAUUAUAUAGACAAGCUUUCUG
rnacentral:misc_RNA from 1 species